rnacentral:rRNA from 1 species
AGUGAACGCUGGCGGUAGGCCUAACACAUGCAAGUCGAACGGCAGCACAGGAGAGCUUGCUCUCUGGGUGGCGAGUGGCGGACGGGUGAGGAAUACAUCGGAAUCUACUCUGUCGUGAGGGAUAACGUAGGGAAACUUACGCUAAUACCGCAUACGACCUACGGGUGAAAGCAGGGGAUCUUCGGACCUUGCGCGAUUGAAUGAGCCGAUGUCGGAUUAGCUAGUUGGCGGGGUAAAGGCCCACCAAGGAGACGAUCCGUAGCUGGUCUGAGAGGAGGAUCAGCCACACUGGAACUGAGACACGGUCCAGACUCCUACGGGAGGCAGCAGUGGGGAAUAUUGGACAAUGGGCGCAAGCCUGAUCCAGCCAUACCGCGUGGGUGAAGAAGGCCUUCGGGUUGUAAAGCCCUUUUGUUGGGAAAGAAAUCCAGCUGGCUAAUACCCGGUUGGGAUGACGGUACCCAAAGAAUAAGCACCGGCUAACUUCGUGCCAGCAGCCGCCGUAA